GGAGAGAGAGCUCAAUCGGUUUAGAGCCCUCAGCACUGAUGUUGUUGAGGAGAUCCAGGUUCGAGACCUGGUCUCUCUG